UGCCCAGCAACUCCUAUCCCUACCUCCUCGUGGUACUACGUGGCUGGGGUACGAGUAACCUCAGGGAAGGUCGUGUGCUGAUAGGGAAAG
rnacentral:ribozyme from 1 species